rnacentral:rRNA from 1 species
AACGCGAAGAACCUUACCUGGGCUUGACAUCUAGGGAAUCCUGCAGAGAUGCGGGAGUGCCGUAAGGAACCCUAAGACAGGUGGUGCACGGUUGUCGUCAGCUCGUGUCGUGAGAUGUUGGGUUAAGUCCCGCAACGAGCGCAACCCUCGUUGUCUGUUGCUACAGGCUGUAAAGUGCUGAGCACUCAGGCGAGACUGCCGGUGACAAACCGGAGGAAGGUGGGGAUGACGUCAAAUCAUCAUGCCCCUUAUGUCCAGGGCGACACACGUGUUACAAUGGGAUGGAACAACGGGCAGCCAAUCAGCAAUGAUGCGCUAAUCCCUUAAACCCACCCUCAGUUCGGAUUGGAGUCUGCAACUCGACUCCAUGAAGUCGGAAUCGCUAGUAAACGCGGAUCAGCCAUGCCGCGUUGAAUACGUUCCCGGGCCUUGUACACACCGGACACGC